AUCCUUAUACGAAAGUUAGAGGAAGCAAGACGUAUACCUAGAGACUAGUGUUAUAAAAGACAGAAAGGUUCAUUCAGCGUAAUGCAUAGGUAAGUCUGUGGGUAACUCAGGGAUUACUGGGUCACACUAACACCCUAAUUACUUUAAUAUUGACAGGCGCCAUAAUGUUAUACCGGUAAACAACAUUUUGAACAUGAAUCGAGAACAGGAGUUGAAUCAGUUGAUGCAGAUAUUCUGAGGAGAAUCUUCCAGUCAUUGAAAUAUAUUUCAUGAUAGUCAUGCAGAUUCAGAAGUUGUGAUGGUGUGUUGAUAGGUUGUCUUCAACUUGCCAUAUCUUAGAGUUCCAACAUGCAGGCCUGGAUUAAUGUGCAUAAAUCACUAAUGAAAAAAAGAAUGACAUUUCAAUUUAUACACACUUACCAAGUGAAUCUGAUGAGACUGCUACAUGUAUUUGUGAGUAAAGGCACUCAGUCUUAACCGAAAAACCAUUUACAGUUUAUCACAACAAAUGGAUGGGACAGUAGAGCUGUUGCGGACAAUAUGUGAUUGUGAUGACCAAGUACUGAACAAGUGGAAGAUUAGAAGAAGGUCCAGAAUUCAAUCAUGUUUUUGAUUCUAAGGUGCAGACAGCAUGGAGAUUGUCCUAUUAUUCUCCCGUUCAUCUAUGAUGGAGAAACUUGUGUAAAUGUUUAGUGUUCUCCUUUAUAAUUAAGUGCCCACAAGUCUAUUAAUUUAUCAGAAUAUAAAGUCCUUCACAGUAUUGAUUUUAAAAUUAAUGUAGAUUGUCUCCAGAUUUUUCUGAGGAAAAGUGCAUAGUUUACAUGUGUGAAUUUUGAAUAUAUUUCAUUCUUGUCUGCAAAUGUUGCCGAAACCUGUUGUUAUUGAUGCAGUCAUGUUAUGCAAAUGAUAGACCUCCUUCUUAAUUACAUGUACAGAAGAUCAUGUCAACUCCUUUGUCUUAAUUGUUUACACAAUUCUAGCAUUUAUAGCAUCAUUUAUAUAGCACUUGCUAGUUUAAGAAGGAUUUUAUUUUCUAAAAGCUUUCAUUUGACAUGAUUGAUUUAAAACGUCAGAAAAGUGCCACUGUGGGUUGAUAUUUUUCUCUUGGAUCUUGAAAGAAAUUCUUUAUGCAGCAGUUUCCAAAUAAAAUGUACUCUCAUGACCAGGGUGGGACUUCACCGAGAACUUUUUAACAUUGCACAAUGCAAUAUUUGUAGAUUAGAAGUUGUUACAGUUUCUUUAAGUUUUCUCUCACAUCUUGUUAUAAUUAUAUUUUAUAUUUUUGGUUGGGUUGCACAAUGUGCAAACAGUUUAUAAAAUGGUGAAUGACUCAGUGGUGGGCAAGCGACAGUAGCGUCCCUGUAAUAGUACCUACUUUGUGUAAUCAACUCCUUUCACACCUCUCACUUGAUGUUCCUUAAACUUUGUACAGUUGUUAGGGAUACAUUGAAGAUGUGCAUGUGCCUUUUUGAAAGUGAUCAGACAUUUUUUGAAAAAUUUACAUGUAGUUGAACUUUGUCAUUUUUAAGCAUUUCUUUAAUCGACAGUACCUAUUUUGUGUAAUCAACUCCUCGUAUACCUCUAACUUGACAUUCCUCAAACUGUGUACAUUUGUUUUGAACACAUUGAAAAUGUGCAUAUGUGUUUUUGAAAGUGAUCAGACAUUUAAAAAAAAAUGUAUAUGUAGUUGAACUUAGUCAUUUUUAAGCAUUUCUUGAAUAAAUAGUAACUAUUUUGUGUAAUCAAAUCUUCAUGCACCUCUAACUUGGCAUUCCUUAAACUUUGUACAGUUGUUAUGAACACAUUGAAGAUGUGCAUGCAUCUUUUUGAAAAUGAUUAGACUUUUUAAAAAAAAAAAAUAUGUGUAGUUGAACUUGGUCAUUUUUAUGCAUUUCUUGAAUAGAUGGUACCUAUUUUGUGUGAUCAACUCGUGCACAUCUAAAUUGAUAUUCCUCAAACUUUGUACAGUAGUUAUGGACACAUUGAAGAUGUGCAUGUGUCUUUUUGAAAGUGAUCAGACUUUUUUCAAAAAAAUUACAUUUAGUUGAACUUUGUCAUUUUUUUAAGCAUUUCCUGAAUAGAUGGUACCUAUUUUUUGUAAUCAACUCCUCUUACAGCAUUUAUUUGACAUUCUUCAGACCUUGAACAGCUGUUAUGGAAGCAUUGUAAAUGUGCAUGUGUCUUUUCGGAAGUGAUCAGGCAUUCUUUGAAAAAUUUACAUGUGCAUGGUGAAGUUGAACUUAGUCAUUUUUUAAGCAUGGUACUUUAUGUAACCAACUCAGCUUUUACUUAACAUUUUCCAGACCCUGUACAUUAUAGAUGUUUUAAAAACAUUGAAGAUAUUCAUGUAACAUUUUAAAAAUGCUUCUCUUUUUUUUUUCUCUUUCUUUUUUAUUGUUGAAAAAUUCUACCUUUAAUUUGUCAUUUUCCCAGUAUAUGUUUCUACUGUUGUUCCUAUGAUAGAUAACAUAUUUUACAAGAACCCGGUCAUUUCUAUUUUUGAAUAAAAAAAAUUUCAAUUAGUAUUUUUGAAUAUGUUAAUUACUUGAUAUGUCAUUGUUCUUGAAAUUAUAUUAAUUGAAUUGUUA